AGGUUACCCUGAAGAGACUUAUCCAAUUUAUGACCUUUCAGACUGUGCCAAGCAUAGGCAAGAAACAAUCCUGGUGGAUUACCCUGACUCAAAAGAGCCUUCUGCUGAAGAAAUAGCUGAAAGAAUGGGAGUGAUAGAAGAGGAAGAAUCAGACCAUUUGGGUUGGGAAAGUCUGCCCACUGAUCCCAGAACCCAGGAAGACAAUUCUGCUACCUUAUGUGAUCCAAAGCCAGAAACAUGUUCCUGCUGUUUUCAUGAAGAAGACGAUCCUGCUGUCUUGGCAGAGAAUACUGGAUUCCAUGCAGACAGCUACUGCGAGCAAGAGGAAACCACCAAAGAAGAGUGGCCCCGAGACUUGAGAGCUGAAGGGUCGGGUAUUAGUGCUGAUAAAGCGUAUACAGGCAGCAUUUUGAGGAAGCGUAACCCCCAGGGUUUAGAGUGAAAACAGCCAGUUUGGUGAAGUAUCCGUUACUCUAGUCCCAAGAUGGGACCACUCGGGGCAAAGGUCUGACUCUUCCUGGUAGGCAUAACAGUUCACCUGUGAAUGAACAUCAGCUUACAGAUGAUGAGGACUAAGUUUGCAAGAAUGAAGAUUUCAGACUUCAAGAUGCCUUCUUCUUUGGACCUGUGCAGGUUAGUGGUCCUCUGGAGAGAAGAGAACAUUUUGUGGGGAUGAUCGUCUCAGAGCAGGGUAAGACUGCUGAGCUGCCUGAGCUGAAUCCUCUUUCUAGGAGCACUGAUGCUGUCUCUUACACAUCCUCUUUUCUCCAGAGUAGUGAAGACUCCCACUGACCUGAGGAUGAGCCUACAGGCCUGUUUGGGGACUGUUUUGCUCUGAUAUUGCCUUGGUCUCUAGCUUCCUGUAUCCCUGUUCUGCUUACUGCCAAACCCAGAAGUACCUUUGCACCUCUGGUCUUCAGUGGCCAGUGGAAGCUCUAGAUGAAGACUUUAGUCCCUGCCCUGCAGAGCCAAGAUUUGAGACUGUUGAGGCUGCAGAAUGGCUGCCUGGGGGUGGUCCUGCCAUGAGGAGCUGAGAAGGCCAGGGAGCUAGCAGUAGGGGAGAGGACCUGUGUAUUGAUGGCAGUCUUUGCCUGAAGCUGUUUCUGAAUAUUGCGCCCUCUAGGAAAUUUGUUCUCAGACCACAUGAGUUAAAACAGAAAUGAGGAUUUAGCUUGUAUACAAAGUGCCAGCUCAACAGGAAAGUUACAGAGUGUGUCUUUUGCACAAACCAAUAUAGCAGUGCCCAUGGGAAGAAACCAUAUGUUCUACAUUCGGAUAUUUGGGACUUUGGACAGGGCUGGAGAAAGUAGCCACUAGAUUAGGACUUGGAGGAUUUUAACCAAAUUAAAGGCUUAUUCUCCUAAGUUACCAUCUGUCAUGUGUCUUCGUGAGACAAGAAGGUACACUUGAAUUCUAAGAUGAAGGAUAUGUGAAUUAAGUUUACAUGUAAGACCUGAGAGUUUGAAGAGGGCAUAUUCCUGAGGACAUUCCCAGUCAUGAAAUAUGGAAGACUGGAAAAUUAAGAAAUUAUGUAAAGGUAGAUAUGGCUUUUAGAGUUCCAUUAUGCAUGGCAUGCAUAAAGUGCCAGGAAAAUAGUUGAAAUCACACAUACAAGCAUGCAGACUGCUGUCACAAGGUAUGGGACCAUAUGAUAAUUUGUCAGCUACUACUAGGCAUUUCUUCUUGUUAGGUAAUUGACAACAGAGACAAGUCAUUUAAGAUUGAGUCUGUAGAAAGUAUAUUGCAUCUAUCUCUGUGUAGGACAUUUGAUUGACAUUGUAAAAAAGGCAGUUUAAAAUGUAUUGAAUCCAAUUCAGAUGUAUUAUACUCUAAAGGUAAAAAAAAUAAUAUAGGUGCUGUCUACUGUUUUGAUAAA